GGCUUGUGAAGAGCUGGGUAAAAGAAAAGCUUACGCAGGCAUUACCUGCAGGGGAAGGGAAAUCCUCACUAAGUGCUUUAAGCCUGCCCGCAACGCGCUGAGGUAAGGAACAACAACUGACUUGAACAGCUUUUUGCAGCCUACAACCUCGCAGAGCACCCCUCCUCCAGGAGCAGCAAUGCGACCACUUGCAGUUGUGUUCCUAACGUCAGCAAGGGAUAGAGGAUGAGGAGGG
rnacentral:lncRNA from 1 species